AAAUAGUCGAAUCGAAGAGUUUGAUCUGGGAACGAAGUGAUUAUAUAGAGCGAGGAACGUUAUUCGCGCGCGUUUCGUAUUUUCACGCGACCUACAUAAGUGAUUAUGAUUAACCGAGAAAAAUAGCGGGUCGACAUUCCGCCUUGGCUGGAGAGUACGGCACCUGGACGCGGUUAGCGUCGUGCAGGGAUGCGCCUGCCACAAUGCACCGUGUGCAAUUUCACUUACUUUCGCCGCUAAUUAAUCGAGCGCACUUCUAGACGGCCGACUUGCCCCGCUCGUGAGGACCAGAGAAAGGUACUAUGCAAAUUCCAUCGAAAAAACGAAACACGUGCCCUUCCCCCACUCCUUCUGCCGUUCUUUUAUCGCGAGCCGCUUCGUUGCUUCACGCUUCGUUGCUUCUAUUAAAUAUCGUCAUUGUGCCGCCAGACGAUGCUUCGUUCCUCUGACGCGACGUUCAGGAUGUAUGAUGUUUAUCGCGUUGGAAGAACAAUUUUGAAGUUUGGAGAGACUUGGGGGAAAAAUAAAACUUCAGAUGGGACCUCUCUACUAGAUUUCGGAUCGUUCUUUGUAUCCUUAACUGUACCGCGGAAAGAUCGUCAACGUACAGACAAUGUCAACGAUGAAGCGCAAAUGCCGACAAGCCGAAAGGGUUGGAAAACUUCGAUAAGCCUAACGGCCAUCAAUAUAUUUCGGCACCGGAGCCGUUGAUGUUCAGUUAGCCACUGGACAGUGAAGAGUCGUUAAUCGAAAGUUGUCAUAUUACACUACUGCAUUAAGUUCAAGUUAAAUAAUCAUCUUUUUCUGUUUAAUCCACUGUAAUAUAUCCAUCUA